rnacentral:lncRNA from 1 species
GUAUUUGAAAAGAUAAGGAUCAUCCCAGAAGAAAUUUUUUAUUUCGGUCAGAAAUUUUCUUUUGUCCUGUUUAUUCCAAUGAAUCGGGAGUUCACCCGUGACAAGAAAAUUUGCAAUGUCUGCAAACCAGGGUGACGACGUGAUCUCAAAGAGUUGCUCAUCAGGGAAAGUGUCUCUUAUGGGUGAAUUGUCUAUGGAAUCUGGAA